AUUAAAAUUCUGAUAAAAAAAAAAUCACAUAAAUGUUCACGUAAAGGAGACAGGAGUGAACUCUGCGCAUGUACAAGAGGAACGGAGGCGGGAAGCCGUAGCCGAGCCCAUUUCGAACUUUGUUUGAAACACACAGUCAGUUGAAGCCGUUGAAGAACAGCGUGAAGAUGGAACCUGCUACUGAGCACAUCAACUCUUAAGUGUGUCCCUGGAAGAUCUACCAUCAACUUCCAGAACUGCAACUGCUAGUACUGUCAGAUGGUGAAUGCUACUCAGGCAAACACCAUUGUUACACCACUUUGAAGGAGAGCCUGGUCAUUUGGUCCCCUCAGCUUCUCCCUUUCUCAGUGAUAUGUUCAUUGUGGCUGGGAUAAUUGUGGGGCACUCUUUCCUUCAUGGAGGACCCUGCUUGUCUGGACUCUGUGAUGUGGUUGUCCAUACUGCUUCGUGGGAGCCCAGACACGGCUACAGUAAACCUGGAGGACUGUGCAGACCUGGACAUUAGAGAAACAAUCAGGCUUCUGGAGGUGGAAUCAAACCUAUCAGCUGAAGAAAUGGGAAGGCACAGAACGUGGCCUCUUCCUGGGACCUCCCUCCGCUAACCACAACCAACAGGGCCCUUAAUGCUCUGCGGUGAAAAAUGGAGCAACAAGGCUGACCGUGACAUCGGGAGAGCUGAGGCAGAUCAUCUUAAACAUGAUGCACCUGGACGGUCCGGUGGCGGAGACUUCAAGAAUUAAAUAAAAUUACAAUGAAAUGGAUAA